rnacentral:rRNA from 2 species
UAAUACAUGCAAGUCGAGCGCACUGGCCCAACUGAUAUGACGUGCUUGCACUGAUUUGACGAUGGAUUACCAGUGAGCGGCGGACGGGUGAGUAACACGUGGGCAACCUGCCCUAAAGCGGGGGAUAACAUUUGGAAACAGGUGCUAAUACCGCAUAACUACGAAAACCACAUGGUUUUCGUAUCAAAGAUGGUUUCGGCUAUCACUUUAGGAUGGGCCCGCGGUGCAUUAGCUAGUUGGUAGGGUAACGGCCUACCAAGGCAAUGAUGCAUAGCCGAGUUGAGAGACUGAUCGGCCACAAUGGAACUGAGACACGGUCCAUACUCCUACGGGAGGCAGCAGUAGGGAAUCUUCCACAAUGGGCGCAAGCCUGAUGGAGCAACACCGCGUGAGUGAAGAAGGGUUUCGGCUCGUAAAACUCUGUUGUUGAAGAAGAACGUGCAUGAGAGUAACUGUUCAUGCAGUGACGGUAUUCAACCAGAAAGUCACGGCUAACUACGUGCCAGCAGCCGCGGUAAUACGUAGGUGGCA